rnacentral:tRNA from 1 species
UUAGUUGAAACCAAAAAGAGGUAUAUUAUUGUUAAUAAUAAAAUUGAAUAAACUAUUUCCAACUAAG